CAGUCGAGCGAAAGAUGAGGAGCUUGCUCCUUUGACGUUAGCGGCGGACGUGUGAGUAACACGUGGGUAACCUACCUAUAAGACUGGGACAACUUCGGGAAACCGGAGCUAAUACCGGAUAAUAUGUUGAACCGCAUGGUUCAAUAGUGAAAGAUGGUUUUGCUAUCACUUAUAGAUGGACCCGCGCCGUAUUAGCUAGUUGGUGAGGUAACGGCUCACCAAGGCAACGAUACGUAGCCGACCUGAGAGGGUGAUCGGCCACACUGGAACUGAGACACGGUCCAGACUCCUACGGGAGGCAGCAGUAGGGAAUCUUCCGCAAUGGGCGAAAGCCUGACGGAGCAACGUCGCGUGAGUGAUGAAGGUCUUAGGAUCGUAAAACUCUGUUAUUAGGGAAGAACAAACGUGUAAGUAACUGUGCACGUCUUGACGGUACCUAAUCAGAAAGCCACGGCUAACUACGUGCCAGCAGCCGCGGUAAUACGUAGGUGGCAAGCGUUAUCCGGAAUUAUUGGGCGUAAAGCGCGCGUAGGCGGUUUUUUAAGUCUGAUGUGAAAGCCCACGGCUCAACCGUGGAGGGUCAUUGGAAACUGGAAAACUUGAGUGCAGAAGAGGAAAGUGGAAUUCCAUGUGUAGCGGUGAAAUGCGCAGAGAUAUGGAGGAACACCAGUGGCGAAGGCGACUUUCUGGUCUGUAACUG
rnacentral:rRNA from 1 species